CCAAUGUCGUUGCUCGGGCUGCAGACUCUGGGCGACGUUCCCAACCCUGCCCUCCAAAACCCUCAUCCCUGAUCUCUUCGCUUCGAUCCCUCCCUCGACGUCUCCCUGAAGCCCUAGCCCAAUCCUCUCGAGAGCCAUCUCCAAUGGCGAACGAGCAGCAGAAGAGAGAAGUCGGAGAAGAAGAGGAGCAGGUGGUGAAUCCGUGGGAGGUCACCGCCAAGGACGGCGGCAAGAUCGACUACGACAAGCUGAUCGAGAAGUUCGGGUGCCAGCGGCUCGACCGCUCCCUCGUCGACCGCGUCGAGCGUCUCACUGACCGCCCCGCCCACGUCUUCCUCCGGCGCGGCGUCUUCUUCGCCCACAGGGAUUUCAAUGAGAUACUUGAUGUGUACGAGAGGGGCGAGAAGUUUUAUCUGUAUACGGGGAGGGGGCCGUCGUCGGAGGCUCUGCAUCUCGGUCAUCUGGUUCCCUUCAUGUUCACGAAAUAUUUGCAGGAUGCUUUUAAGGUUCCUCUUGUAAUACAGCUAACCGACGAUGAGAAGUGCAUGUGGAAGAAUCUCUCAGUAGAAGAGAGUAAAAGGCUUGCUCGUGAGAAUGCAAAAGACAUAAUUGCAUGUGGCUUUGACAUAACAAGAACUUUCAUUUUCUCAGAUUUUAAUUAUGUUGGUGGUGUCUUUUAUGAAAACAUGGUCAAGGUUGCAAAAUGUGUCACAUUUAAUAAGGUUGUGGGAAUAUUUGGCUUCACACAAGAAGAUCAUAUUGGAAAAAUUAGCUUCCCACCUGUGCAGGCAGUCCCAUCAUUCCCUAGUUCAUUUCCACAUCUUUUCCCUGGAAAGGACCAGCUUCGUUGCUUGAUACCAUGUGCCAUUGACCAGGAUCCUUAUUUCAGAAUGACACGGGAUGUGGCUCCCAGGAUAGGAUACCAAAAACCGGCUUUAAUUGAAUCGUCAUUCUUCCCUGCUCUUCAGGGGGAGACAGGAAAGAUGUCGGCAAGCGAUCCAAAUUCUGCAAUAUAUGUGACAGAUUCCUCCAAAGACAUAAAAAAUAAGAUAUGCCUUUUCUGGUGGCCAAGAUUCUAUAGAGAACCACAGGAAAUAUGGAGCCAACCUAGAGGUAUGGUUUUUGUUUUGUUAUGUAUGGUAAGCUCAUAAAUGUCAUAACCCUUGCAAAUAUAUGGCAUGAGAGAUAAUUAGUAGUUCAUUUUACCAUAUUGAUACUGACUAAGCAGAUUUAAGUGCUGAUGCAGGUUUUUCAAAAUUUUCAGUGGAAUGUUUCUUAGUAUUUUUAAACAUAACAAAUAUCUUAAUUUCAUCUGACUCUUUGAUUGAGGUAUUAGCAGCAGAGCCAUGUUAUCAUCCUCUUCAUCCUUGAGGAGAUUUACCGCACUCGUUGAACUUUACUUUGAAUAUCUACGCAUAAGAUUUCUGUAUCUGUUAGACUGAGCAUUUGAUGUCUGCUCACGAACAAUUUUAUGGUCCAAUAGAUUUCCUGUUGUGGGUUUUGCUCAGGUGGACAUUCCUGUCAAGUACCUUAAUUUCUUUCUUGAAGAUGAUGCUGAACUUGAGCACAUCAAGAAGGAAUAUGGUGCUGGAAGGAUGCUGACUGGUGAGGUCAAGAAAUGUCUUAUUCAGGUCCUCUCAGAGUUGGUCGAGAGACAUCGCCAGGCUCGGGCUGCUGUUACAGAUGAGAUGGUGGAUGCUUUCAUGGCUGUCAGACCUCUACCCAAUAUGUUCAGCUAAAUAGCUUUUGACAUACAGAUUUCAACUCAAUUCCUCUCAAAGGAUUAAAAUGAGUGAACAGCAAAGUAUUUCUGCUUUACUGAUUAUCACUGAAAGAGUUAUUGUACUACCCUUAUUUAUAUCACAACCGAAGAUAAGGAAAUCAAGUUUGUAGAAAUGAGAUUUCGGGAGGACAACGAAUUUAUUUGUCUUGCAUAGUUCUGGCGGCAAAUGUUGUUGAAAAAUUGUUCUUGUUUGCGCAAGGGCCAAAGUAAUUUAAUGUUUUCUGCUCUGUCGAUCAACACCUGCAAAAUAUUUUCGGUGUUGCCAGUAUUUCUGCUCUCCAGGUUGUAAGCUAUUGUGCUGAAACAGUCACAAGUUUGAACAGUUGAUAAUCUGCAUCAAUAGAAUGCGAGCUGAAAUUCACUUAGAAA